rnacentral:misc_RNA from 1 species
GAAAUGCGAUACGUAGUGUGAAUUUUGCAGAAUUCCGUGAAUCAUCGAACCUUUGAACGCAUAUUGCGCUCGAGGCUUCGGCCAAGAGCAUGUCUGCCUCAGCGUCGGGUUAAUAUCAAUGCUCAAAUAAUUAUUUAUAAUUAUUGGCUGCAUUGGACCUGGCCGUUCCAGCGAGUCACUGGUAUGGGUUAACCCUACUGGUGGUCAAACGAGCUGGAUCGGCUGAAGCACAGAGUGCUGACCAAGGACCCUGCUAAGGGCCGCAACUGGGUAGGUUACCGCAAAGGGCUCUUGCCUGGCGCAGUAUAUCAACGCUUAGUUGUUGGUCUUGGGACUUUAGUCUGGCCCUCAACCCAGGAAACUAACCCUUAUUUUCUCGACCUGAGCUCAGGCAAGAACACCCGCUGAACUUAAGC